rnacentral:misc_RNA from 1 species
GAUGAAGAAAGUAGCGAAAUGCGAUAAGUAAUGUGAAUUGCAGAAUUCAGUGAAUCAUCGAAUCUUUGAACGCACCUUGCACCCUUUGGCAUUCUGAAGGGUAUGCUCGUUUGAGUGUCAUUGUACUCUCACACUCCCGAUCUUUGCAUUGGGAGCAGUGGACUUGGGUUUGCUGCUUCACCGUCGCUUACCUCAAAUAGGUUAGUGCAACUCUUGGUUGGACAUAGUACGGCGUGAUAAGUGUUCUUCGCCGGUGCCUCGCAAAGAGGGUGGCCGAUCGGGAUGUUGUGCUCCAAACCGUCUUCGGACAAUCUCUGACGACUUGACCUCAAAUCGAGUAAGACUACCCGCUGAACUUAAGCAUAUCAAUAAGCGGAGGA